AACGCACAUUGCGCCCCUUGGUAUUCCGAGGGGCAUGCCUGUUCGAGCGUCAUUACAAACCCUCAAGCUUCGGCUUGGUAUUGGAUCUUCGUCCGUUACUGGACGUGUCCGAAACUCGUAGGCGGUGAUAUUCAUGUCCUAAGCGUAGUCAAUUUUUCUCGCUUUCUGGAGGUGGAUGUCACUCGCCUGACAACCUCAUAUUUUUUCUAUGGGUUGACCUCGGAUCAGGUAGGGAUACCCGCUGAACUUAA
rnacentral:misc_RNA from 1 species